CCUACGGGAGGCAGCAGUGAGGAAUAUUGGUCAAUGGACGCAAGUCUGAACCAGCCAUGCCGCGUGCAGGAUGACGGUCCUAUGAGUUGUAAACUGCUUUUGUACGAGAGUAAACCCCGAUACGUGUAUCGGGUUGACAGUAUCGUCCGAAUAAGGAUCGGCUAACUCCGUGCCAGCAGCCGCGGUAAUACGGAGGAUCCGAGCGUUAUCCGGAUUUAUUGGGUUUAAAGGGUACGUAGGCGGUUUGAUAAGUUAGAGGUGAAAUGUUGGGGCUCAACCCCGCAACUGCAUCGGAUACUGUUGGACUAGAGAAUAGUUGAGGUAAGCGGAAUGUAUGGUGUAGCGGUGAAAUGCUUAGAGAUCAUGCAGAACACCGAUUGCGAAGGCAGCUUACCAAACUAUAACUGACGUUGAGGCACGAAAGCGUGGGUAGCAAACAGGAUGAGAUACCCUAGUAGUC
rnacentral:rRNA from 1 species